rnacentral:rRNA from 1 species
UACGGAGGGGGCAAGCGUUGUUCGGAAUUACUGGGCGUAAAGGGCGCGCAGGCGGCUGCUCAAGUCAGGCGUGAAAGGCCUGGGCUCAACCCGGGAAUUGCGCUUGAGACUGGGCUGGCUUGAGUGCGGGAGAGGAUGGUGGAAUUCCCAGUGUAGAGGUGAAAUUCGUAGAUAUUGGGAAGAACACCGGUGGCGAAGGCGGCCAUCUGGACCGCAACUGACGCUGAGGCGCGAAACGUGGGGAGCAAACAGGG